AUCCCUCGCUGCUAAGCUAUCGCCGCUGCCAACCUAUCUAUUGCUGCAAGCUAUCCCUCGCUGCUAAGCUAUCGCUGCCAACCUAUCUACCGCGGUGAAUCUAUCUAUCGCUGCCAAUUUAUCUACCACUGCCAAUCUAUCUAUCGCUGCCAAUCUAUUGCUGCUAAUCUAUCACUGCUGCCAAUCUAUCUAUCGCUGCUAAUCUAUCGCUGCUAAUCUAUCGCUGCCAACCUAUCUAUCGCUGCCAAUUUAUCUACCACUGCCAAUCUAUCUAUCGCUGCUAAUCUAUCGCUGCCAACCUAUCUACCGCGGCGAAUCUAUCCAUUGCUGUCAAUUUAUCUACCACUGUCAAUCUAUCUAUUGCUGCUAAUCUAUCGCUGCUAAUCUAUCGCUGCUAAUCUAUUGCUGCUAAUCUAUUGCUGCUGCCAAUCUAUCUAUCACUGCUAAUCUAUCGCUGCUAAUCUAUCGCUGCCAACCUAUCUACCGCGGCGAAUCUAUCUAUCGCUGCCAAUUUAUCUACCACUGCCAAUCUAUCUAUCGCUGCCAAUCUAUUGCUGCUAAUCUAUCGCUGCUAAUCUAUCGCUGCUGCCAAUCUAUCUAUCGCUGCUAAUCUAUCGCUGCUAAUCUAUCACUGCUAAUCUAUCGCUGCCAACCUAUCUAUCGCUGCCAAUUUAUCUACCACUGCCAAUCUAUCUAUUGCUGCUAAUCUAUUGCUGCUGCCAAUCUAUCUAUCGCUGCUAAUCUAUUGCUGCUGCUAAUCUAUCUAUCGCUGCUAAUCUAUCGCUGCUAAUCUAUCGCUGCUAAUCUAUCGCUGCUAAUCUAUCGCUGCUAAUCUAUCGCUGCCAACCUAUCUACCGCGGCGAAUCUAUCUAUCACUAUCAUUACUAGUUCAAAAUAGAACUAGAGCAUAAACACACUAAACUUCUUUUGAUAGGUAAUGAUUUUUGGUAACACUCAUAGCAUUAUAUCAUCUAUAUAGGAUAAAUCAUGGUCCCAUUUGGUCCCAUUUUAACAAAAUGGGAUCAAAUGAGACCAGAAUCAGUAAUUUAUAAGAAGAACAUGAUCUGAGACUAGAUUUAUAAUAUAAACAGUGUAAAGUGACUAAUUUAAUAAACACUAUAUGGGACC
rnacentral:sRNA from 1 species